rnacentral:rRNA from 1 species
AAUAAGAAAUUCAUAAGGGCGUAUGGUGGAUGCCUUGACUCUAAAAGGCGAUGAAGGACGUGGCAUGUCUGCGAUAAGCUUCGGGUAGGUGACUAGCAACCUGUGAUCCGGAGAUUUCCGAAUGGGGGAACCCAAUCUGUUGAACACAGAUUACCUUGUAUCUGUAAAGGAUACUCGGAGUGCACCUGGGGAAGUGAAACAUCUCAGUACCCAGAGGAAAAGAAAACAAUGUCUAUUUAUUUAGAUAAUAUUUCGUAAGUAGCGGCGAGCGAAAGCGAAAGAGCCCAAACCAGCACAUCACAUGGCAUGUGAUGUGAGUAUAAAGUUUAUAAAGUUUAUAAAGUCAAAAGUUUUUAACUUGCGACUUUUAACUUUUUACUUUUAACUCGCACAUCAUAUUUCAUGUGAUGUGCUGGGGUUGUAGGACAACAGUGUCAUUCUUGUAAUGAAAAAAGUCAAAAAAUAUUUUGUUAGUUGAAUCUGCUGGGAAGCAGGACCCUAGAGGGUAAUAGUCCCGUAAACGAAAACAAUCUAUCUUUUUUAUUGUUGUUCCUGAGUACCUCAAGACACGAAUGGCUUGGGGGAAUCUGCCGGAACUAACCGGUAAGGCUAAAUACUUUUAGAGAUCGAUAGUGANNGAAACCAUAUGCCUACAAGGAGUGGGAGCCGUCGUAUCUUACUGCGUAAGAACGACGGAAUUAUAAAUGAUAAAUUUUUAAUUUCGUCGCAUCUUGCAUAGCAAGAUGCGACGGUGACCGCGUGCCUAUUGAAGAAUNNNNNNNNNNNNNNNNNNNNNNNNNNNNNNNNNNNNNNNNNNNNNNNNNNNNNNNNNNNNNNNNNNNNNNNNNCUGGUUCUCUCCGAAAUAGCUUUAGGGUUAGCGUCUAGAUUACCUACUGGGGGUAGAGCACUGGAAGGAUUGAAUAGGGGGAAACUUCGUCAAUCCUAUCAAACUCCGAAUACCAGUAGUCAAUUUCUAGGCAGUUAGACUGUGGGGGCUAAGCUCCAUUGGUCNNUAAAGAUAGCGUAACAGCUCACUCAUCAAGAGAUAUUGCGCCGCAAAUAAUCGGGGCUAAGUAUGGUACCGAAGGUUAGGAUGUCACAUUUUUAAUGUGGCGUGGUAGGAGAGCAUUCUGUUCUGCAAUGAAGCCAAAGGCGUAAGCCAUGGUGGAGCGUACAGAAGCGAGAAUGUUGGCACAAGUAACCGCAAUGCAGGUGAGAUCCCUGCACGCCGAAAGACUAAGGUUUCCUUCGCAAUGGUGAUCAGCGAAGGGUUAGUCGGGCCUAAGGAGAUGGUGAAAACCGGAUCUGAUGGACAUACGGUUAAUAUUCCGUAACUUCUUUAUAUUUCGAUGGAGUGACGGAGGACACAAGUAAGAGCACAUUAUUGGAUUUGUGUAUUUUAUUUUAAGAAUUGUUUCUUAGGAAAAUCCGGGAAACUGACUUUAAUGUCGAAUUUCGUAAAUAGAUUAAAUUUCUUCCCUCGGGUUGGAAAAUUCUUACGAAGAGCCUUCCAAGAAAAGCUUCUAAGGUUAAGUAUAAAGAACCCGUACCGUAAACCGACACAGGUAGUCAGGUCGAGAAGACCAAGGCGAACGAGUGAUAAUUCCCCAAGGAACUCGGCAAAAUAGCAGCCGUAACUUCGGAAUAAG